GACGAACGUUGGCGGCGUGCUUAAUACAUGCAAGUCAACUGAAGCAGUGGUAGCAAUAUCGCUGUGGAGGUGGCGCACGGGUGAGUAACACGUAGGUAAUCUGCCUUCAGGUCUGGCAUAACUCCGGGAAACCGGGGCUAAUAGCAGAUGAUGCAGCGGCUCGACAUCGAGACAGUUGUUAAAGCUAUGGCGCCUGAAGAUGAGCCUGCGUCUGAUUAGCUAGUUGGCGGGGUAACGGCCCACCAAGGCAACGAUCAGUAGCUGGACUGAGAGGAUGAUCAGCCACACUGGAACUGAGACACGGUCCAGACUCCUACGGGAGGCAGCAGUAAGGAAUAUUGCGCAAUGGGAGAAAUCCUGAAGCAGCAACGCCGCGUGAGGGACGAAGGGCUUCUGCUUGUAAACCUCUGUAGUGAGAGAAAAAAAUCCCAAUCUUUGGGACAUGAUGGUAUCUCAAAAGUAAGCCCCGGCUAACUACGUG
rnacentral:rRNA from 1 species